UCGUGUUCAGCCUCCUCUGAGUGGAGGAGAUGUGACAUACUAAUCCACUGAAGAGCAGCCCUGGAAGGAAUGAUCCAUACACGCUAGGAAAGGCUACUCCACAGUUAGACUUUUGUAAUUGUCCUAAUUCAAAUAUUUACUUAAACCCUGUUUUUAUAUUAUGCACAGUUCAAGGGGAAUGACAUUGUCAGCUGUGUGUUUCCUGGAACUGACCGUCUGCCGCAAGGCCACAGAUAAAGCUUGUUUAUGGAAAAACAAAAUAUGAAAAAAAAAAAGACCCUGUUCUUUGGGGUUUAUACUCCCACACAUACUUGAGUGGGCGAGAGGACAGUGUUCCACGACCCUUCCCUCUGGUAAUGAGAGGCAGAACUGCUUUCACUCCAUGCGGGGAUGGACGCACCAGGACUCAGACAACGCGGCGGCGGCGGCUUUUCUCACUGCUGGGACCUGACACCUGCCGGAUGCAGUGUGAGCAAAGACGCCUUUGCUUGGCUGAUGGUGUAAGGGACUCCAGACCAUCAUGGCAGGGAACACGUGGUGAUAUGAGGGGACAUGCCCUGUCAUCCUGUCGUCGACAGCCAGGACGCAGUGACGAAUGCUGGCCCUCAGAGCUUGGAGGACAAUGGAAGGAAGCCGUGAAGAGCUAGCUGCUGGGACCAGUCUGUCCUAAGAGAGGAUUUCUUCUCAUUUUUACAGUGCUGGCCUAAGGGUUGAUGGAAAUAAAUACUUCAAAUCUGGCUCUUUAACAAACUCUUCUCCCGGCCCUCUCUGGCCACAGACGCGGCCCUUCUUUUCUGAACAUUCUAUUCACUUCUAUCAUUUGACGAUGGAACGGUGUGCUGGGGUACUUUGUGGGGAUCAGUCAGGACGUUUAGAAAUGGAGCAGGCUUUGUCUCCAUGCCUCCUUGUCGAGUCCUAACCCCAUCCCCACAGCCCGGCGGACACACACAUGCGCAGAGGAGGGACGCAGAGAAUGUGGUCAACCCUCCUCCACUGCUUUCAUGACGUGGCUAUCCAAGGUGGCCAGAGUGGCCAGAGGUCAGCUCCUGACCCUGCUCUCUUCAGCCUCCAGGAAGAGAUGUUUCUGUAUCCAUCAAAUUAUCGAUUUCCUGUAAGAAUGGGGAGAGAAUUUCUGAAAGAAGUCAUUUUGGAGAUAAAUGGAAGAUUAAUGAGAGAGAACACAAAGUGAGUAGGCUGUGCCUGCUUGGAUAAUGUGACUUCUGCAGAGCUCGGGCUGUGGAUGUGCUCACAGGGGUAAGAAAUGUGGAAGCAGGAUGGGGAGAUGGUAAAGUCUAUGCUACUAAAGCGCAUGACCCUUGUGCGGCAGUUUGGAAGAAAAUGGUCCCCUUGUUGGAGGAAGUGUGUCACUGUGGAGACAGGCUUUGAGGUCUCAUGUAUGCUAACGUUACAGCCAGUGUCUGAAGCCAUUUUCUGUUGCCUACAAGUCAAGACAUAGGACACUGGGCUCCUUCCCCAGCACCAUGUCUGCCUGUGUGCCACCUUGUCACACCAUGAUGACAAUGGACCCAACCUCUGGAUGUAAGUCACCCUAAUUAAAUGUUCUUCUUUUAUAAGA